ensembl:lncRNA
UGAGAGAAUUAAUACAAGCAGUUGAAAUACAGGAAUACACUUGUUUCCUAUAAAUAAAUGGGAGCAAACACUCUUAUAGCUGUAUUUUAGUUAAAAUUUCCUGUUUGUCCCCUGCCGGUUUUGCGCAGCUGAUGUGACGGAAGAUCAGAAGCCGCGUUUACUAAUCGUACUAUGGUGAAGGAUUGUAUUAAUAUUUAUGAAUCCACCAUUCGCCCGUAGGAUGUAAUAACGCAAGGUCAGCAGUACCUAAUUAAUAUUUAUUAACAAGCCAUCGCCAUUGGAAGGUUGCAACGGGCGUCAGCGUUGCCUGAUUAAUAUUCAUGACCCUUCGUCGUAGUAGGAUUCAUAUUUUUGCGUCAGGCUCUUGACGUCUCGUUCCUCCACGCCUCAACUUACGCAGGUCGGCUCUAUUCAUUACAUUUCUCACGACAGGGCGCACCCAGUAAGCCGCAGACCUUCGAUGUUCCUCUGUCUACUGUACUUCUCCAUCCUACUGUGGUAAGUUUUAUAUUUUAAAAGCUUGUGAUUUCCAUGUUUAGCCACUUUAAACACAGAGGAAGUUGUUUGUUAUGUGUUUGGAAUUGUUGGGUUGUAGGCUAAUUUUUGAUUUGCAAGGCUAUCACUAGGUUAUCGCCUACUGUUUAAAGCCAUUUUCACUUGCUUAUUCCAUUAUUCAAAUAAGGAAUGCUAUUUCCAUUACUUAUUUGUGCCUUAAAAUUUUUCAGAUCUUGUAAAGAUAUGUCCUACGUCAACAGGAGGUCGCAGAAUGAAGAUUAAUCAGUGGCUUUGUCAACGCUGUUGAUCUGCAGCUGUGCGCAUAAAGAAACGACAGAGAAGCAUAAAUGCUUCAAAGCAUUCCAACUUCAUUUUAGUGCUUCACAGAAGGCCUUUUUCUUCCAGUUACUGGCUUAAAGGAAAGACAGAUGAAAUGUCAGUGCGCACAUAGGGAUUAAAUGUCCUGUAUGUUUAAAACAAGAACUUCCCAAAAUCCAACAUGAGGUUACUUCAUAAAUCAAAGGAGAUCAUGUUGUUUGUCUCCACCUAACCUUGUCUUUAGUCUAUCAUUUGUCUCUUGCAUGGCACAGCCUGCUUAUAUUUUUCACUGUAACCAUGGCAUAGCCCCUAAGACAGGAAGUGAACACGUGUAGAGCUUUCCAGCCAGAGUCAACAUUCUGUCUCAAUGGUUGGCAUUUGUAUUUGGGUUGUUUUUGACCAUCCCUGGGCUGUUGACUAGUUCCCAGGCUUAUGUUGCAAUAGUGCUGAAAUUGAGAUCAGGACAAAUCUGACAGCUGGCCUCUGUUUGUCAUCCUUUUGUGA